rnacentral:rRNA from 1 species
CGGCGUACGGGUGCGGAACACGUGUGCAACCUGCCUUUAUCAGGGAGAUAGCCUUUCGAAAGGAAGAUUAAUACCCCAUAAUAUAUUAAGUGGCAUCACUUGAUAUUGAAAACUACGGUGGAUAGAGAUGGGCACGCGCAAGAUUAGAUAGUUGGUAGGGUAACGGCCUACCAAGUCUACGAUCUUUAGGGGGCCUGAGAGGGUGAUCCCCCACACUGGUACUGAGACACGGACCAGACUCCUACGGGAGGCAGCAGUGAGGAAUAUUGGACAAUGGGUGCAAGCCUGAUCCAGCCAUCCCGCGUGAAGGACGACGGCCCUAUGGGUUGUAAACUUCUUUUGUAUAGGGAUAAACCUACAUACGUGUAUCUUGCUGAAGGUACUAUACCAAUAAACACCGGCUAACUCCGUCCAGCAGCCGCGGUAAUACAGAAGGUGCAAGCGUUAUCCGGAUUUAUUGGGUUGAAAGGGUCCGUAGGCGGAUCUGUAAGUCAGUGUUGAAGUCUCACAGCUUAACUGUGAAACUGCCAUUGAUACUGCACGUCUUGACUGUUGUUGAAGUAACUGGAAUAAAUAUUGUAGCGGUGAAAUGCAUAGAUAUUACUUAGAACACCACUUGCGAAGGCAGGGUACUAACCAGCAACUGACGCUGAUGUACGAAGGCGUGGCGAGCGAACAGGAUUAGAUACCCUGGUAGUCCACGCCGUAAACGAUGCUAACUCGUUUUUGGGUUUUCGGAUUCAGAGACUAAGCGAAAGUGAUAAGUUAGCCACCUGGGGAGUACGUUCGCAAGAAUGAAACUCAAAGGAAUUGACGGGGGCCCGCACAAGCGGUGGAUUAUGUGGUUUAAUUCGAUGAUACGCGAGGAACCUUACCAAGGCUUAAAUGGGAAAUGACAGGUUUAGAAAUAGACUUUUCUUCGGACAUUUUUCAAGGUGCUGCAUGGUUGUCGUCAGCUCGUGCCGUGAGGUGUUAGGUUAAGUCCUGCAACGAGCGCAACCCCUGUCACUAGUUGCCAUCAUUAAGUUGGGGACUCUAGUGAGACUGCCUACGCAAGUAGAGAGGAAGGUGGGGAUGACGUCAAAUCAUCACGGCCCUUACGCCUUGGGCCACACACGUAAUACAAUGGCCAGUACAGAGGGCAGCUACACAGCGAUGUGAUGCAAAUCUCGAAAGCUGGUCUCAGUUCGGAUUGGAGUCUGCAACUCGACUCUAUGAAGCUGGAAUC